rnacentral:misc_RNA from 1 species
CGAUAUUAGCAGCACUUACCCUACGUAGCUAUGUAUCUAGAUAUAGUCACAAUGCAGAAUUAUGACGAUGUAGAAAAGUAUUACAAAUCGUAGACAACUUUUUGUUACUUUUCGUUAUCAUUCAUUCAUUAUCGCGCACAAUUUGUUUGGAAAUUUUAUAUCUACAUAUUCUGCCAUUUGAUUAUUUCAUAUAUGUAGUAAGUAGAAUAACGUUCCUUUAAUUCUUUUACUGGCGCAAGAAAAUUGCAUCGAAGAGAUAAAAAUCGAAGUAUAAUUUGUUCACUGGUAAUAUUUAUGUAUUUAUAAG